rnacentral:rRNA from 1 species
UACGGAGGAUCCGAGCGUUAUCCGGAUUUAUUGGGUUUAAAGGGUGCGCAGGCGGGAGAUUAAGUCGGCGGUGAAAUUUUGCAGCUCAACUGUAAAAGUGCCUUCGAAACUGGUUUCCUUGAGUGUAGAUGAAGUAGGCGGAAUUUGUGGUGUAGCGGUGAAAUGCAUAGAUAUCACGAGGAACUCCGAUUGCGCAGGCAGCUUACUAAACUACUACUGACGCUCAGGCACGAAGGCGUGGGGAUCAAACAGGAUUAGAUACCCCUGUA